rnacentral:rRNA from 1 species
AUUGAACGCUGGCGGCAGGCCUAACGCAUGCAAGUCGAGCGGAUGAAGGGAGCUUGCUCCUGGAUUCAGCGGCGGACGGGUGAGUAAUGCCUAGGAAUCUGCCUGGUAGUGGGGGAUAACGUCCGGAAACGGGCGCUAAUACCGCAUACGUCCUGAGGGAGAAAGUGGGGGAUCUUCGGACCUCACGCUAUCAGAUGAGCCUAGGUCGGAUUAGCUAGUUGGUGGGGUAAAGGCCUACCAAGGCGACGAUCCGUAACUGGUCUGAGAGGAUGAUCAGUCACACUGGAACUGAGACACGGUCCAGACUCCUACGGGAGGCAGCAGUGGGGAAUAUUGGACAAUGGACGAAAGCCUGAUCCAGCCAUGCCGCGUGUGUGAAGAAGGUCUUCGGAUUGUAAAGCACUUUAAGUUGGGAGGAAGGGCAGUAAGUUAAUACCUUGCUGUUUUGACGUUACCAACAGAAUAAGCACCGGCUAACUUCGUG